UAGCACCUGGUAGGCUUUCAUUUCAGUAUAGGACAGAAAAAAGGGAAGUCAAUAUCACCAAACCAGUAUUAAGAAACAUAUCUAACCUUAAUUGAACCAGAGAGGUUGUGGGGAAAAUGUUGAGUGAAAGUUCAUAUGCAACAAAAAGGAAAUUAAUAAGCUGGUUCCUUUCUGUUAGUCGGUUUCUUUUUGGUUUUUAUAGUUUGUAGAAUUGGUUCGCUUUAGCACUACUAAUUUUGUGGAAUUGGUUUUUAUGUAUUUUGCUUUUUAUGUUUUUAUGGAAUUGGUUAUACUACUAAACUAGUUAAGCAUCUAACUUAAACCAAUAAAGUGAUGCAGGUUUUGAUGACUGUCUUUGCAAUUGGUAAUGUUUAAAUUCCCAACAUAAUCCCAAAUCUUUAUAUUAAUAGGGAUCCAUGGUGUUGAGUUGCAUUCGACAACAACAAUACUAUAUGUGCAUCUUAAAGUUAUAGGAAUAUACUUUACAUUUCAGAAUUGAAUUUAUUCAAGGGUUUUGCUAAAACACAAUCACUGAGACUUGGUGGUGGCCUGCAUUUUGCAGCCACAACUAAGACCAAGGGGUUGAUUUUCAUUUUUCCUUUCCUUACCAAUUGGAAUAAAAGUGCAACCGGCCACCAGUUAAGUAGUUAAUUAGUUAUACUACUAAAGUGGUUUAACUUAUUUUUACAUAAUGCCACUUAGCAGCAGGAAUUUAACGAACUUGAUUUCUUAACAUAUUUUUACAUUUCAUGUUUUUUGUUUGACAACUUUUUAGCUACUGCAGAUUUUGUUGUUCUGGUUUUUCACUCUUUUUGUGAAUUUCAAUUGUAGUAGGAUUGAAUCAUUUAAAUUGUGGGAUAUUUUUGUUUGAUGGAUAUCAAUUGUGUUUUCAUUUAUAUAGUACUAAUGGAUUUACUGUGUUGGGAAUUUCAGGAAUUUGAAUUGUUGAAGGGGGAAGUUGGUUUCUAGGCAUUUUGAGGUAUAUAAUUAUAUACCCUAUUUUUAUUCAAAGCCUAUUGUAAAUGGAUGAUUGGUUUGUGAGAAAUGAAUUAAAAAGAGAGUUAGAAUCCUCUAUUUUGGAUUUCGAAAAAGAAAGUCAGCAAUGUAUAAUGAUGUGCAUUUUAUAUUCUGUGUUACAGGGCCAUUAACUUAAAUUUUGGUUUCAAGUUGUAGAAAUACGGCUUUUCAUUCUUUCUUAAUAUAAGCUUUCAUUACAGCUUCAGUUUCACAUCAUUCGUCAUUGGAUUUGCUAAAAUAAGUUUUUUUGAGAUAAUCUUAUAGGUGAAUUGUUAAAAGAUAGGAAGAGAGAAGACAGCCUGCAAUUUUAUAAACUAAAGAUCGGAUGCAUUAGAUGUGGUAUAGGGUGUCCGAGAGAAACGGUUUUAGGAUUAUGUUUGGUUGGGUUUAAGGAUUAGGUUUGGGGUUUUGUUUUGGCCAUUUGUAGAGAGAUGGGGG
rnacentral:lncRNA from 1 species